rnacentral:rRNA from 1 species
CCUACGGGUGGCAGCAGUGGGGAAUAUUGGACAAUGGGGGCAACCCUGAUCCAGCCAUGCCGCGUGUGUGAAGAAGGCCCUCGGGUUGUAAAGCACUUUCAGUGAGGAAGAACGCCUGGUGGUUAAUACCCAUCAGGAAAGACAUCACUCACAGAAGAAGCACCGGCUAACUCCGUGCCAGCAGCCGCGGUAAUACGGAGGGUGCGAGCGUUAAUCGGAAUUACUGGGCGUAAAGCGCGCGUAGGUGGCUUGAUAAGCCGGUUGUGAAAGCCCCGGGCUCAACCUGGGAACGGCAUCCGGAACUGUCAAGCUAGAGUGCAGGAGAGGAGGGUAGAAUUCCCGGUGUAGCGGUGAAAUGCGUAGAGAUCGGGAGGAAUACCAGUGGCGAAGGCGGCCUUCUGGACUGACACUGACACUGAGGUGCGAAAGCGUGGGUAGCAAACAGGAUUAGAUACCCUAGUAGUC